UGGGGAAUAUUGCACAAUGGAGGGAACUCUGAUGCAGCGACGCCGCGUGAACGAAGAAGGCUUUCGAGUCGUAAAGUUCUUUUAUAUGGGAAGAUAAUGACGGUACUAUAAGAAAAAGACCCGGCUAACUACGUGCCAUCAGCCGCGGCAAUACGUAGGGGGCUAGCGUUGUCCGGAAUCACUGGGCGUAAAGGGUUCGCAGGCGGAAAUGCAAGUCAGGUGUAAAAGGCAGUAGCUUAACUACUGUAAGCAUUUGAAACUGCAUAUCUUGAGAAGAGUAGGGGUAAGUGGAAUUUUUAGUGUAGCGGUGAAAUGCGUAGAUAUUAAAAAGAAUACCGGUGGCGAAGGCGACUUACUGGGCUCAUUCUGACGCUGAGGAACGAAAGCGUGGGUAGCAAACGGG
rnacentral:rRNA from 1 species